UUUGAUCCUGGCUCAGGAUGAACGCUGGCGGCGUGCCUAAUACAUGCAAGUCGAGCGAACGGACGAGAGUGCUUGCACUCUCUGAUGUUAGCGGCGGACGGGUGAGUAACACGUGGGUAACCUACCUAUAAGACUGGGAUAACUUCGGGAAACCGGAGCUAAUACCGGAUAAUAUUUAGCUUCGCAUGAAGCAAUAGUGAAAGACGGUUCUGCUGUCACUUAUAGAUGGACCCGCGGUGUAUUAGCUAGUUGGUGAGGUAACGGCUCACCAAGGCAACGAUACAUAGCCGACCUGAGAGGGUGAUCGGCCACACUGGGACUGAGACACGGCCCAGACUCCUACGGGAGGCAGCAGUAGGGAAUCUUCCGCAAUGGACGAAAGUCUGACGGAGCAACGCCGCGUGAGUGAAGAAGGUUUUCGGAUCGUAAAACUCUGUUGUAAGGGAGGAACAAGUACGUUAGUAACUGAACGUACCUUGACGGUACCUUACCAGAAAGCCACGGCUAACUACGUG
rnacentral:rRNA from 1 species